ensembl:lncRNA
CAUACACUGUCCCCAAUUUUUAAAGAGUUUUUUAAUUAAAUACAUUUUAUUUAUUUAUUUAAUUUGGAGUGUAGAGAAAAGCCUUACAACCUGUAUCCAUUAGCCUAUAUAAAACUGCCAUGUUAAAGUUAAAUAACAACGUUCCCUUUUACUAGAGACAACAAAAAUCCCAAAUAUAUAAUAUUUAAUAAUAUGUCAAAUUUAAAAUGGACAAUAUUGUGCUGAAUAUAGAACUUCAUGACAAUAACAAUAAUAACUAAGUACUAUAUAUAUAUUAAGAAACAUGGGAAGUAGAAACAUGGGUUGCAGAACAAGGUAAAAAAAAGAGCAUGCAGAACAAGGUAAAAUAUGUGGUAUUGUUAAAUACAUUAAAGAAAUAGGAUUAAGCAGGAGAAUUUUUAUAUAUAUAAAUAUGUAUAUAUUCGUUGCUUAUUAGUGCUUCACACUCCAGUCCAGUUGGUGGCGGUAAAUGCACCAAAAGUUGGUUUGCCAUCCACCAUUAAACGUUAUUAGAAGAAGAGUAAUGUUCACGCUGCGCUGUUGUAACUGAUCAGCGCCGCGCUGUCAGUUCGGUGGCGCUGGUAAAUACGUCCUCUCUGCACUGUCGAGUCGGUCGCGCAGCUCGGUCCAUUGAGCCGCGCCGAUGACCGGUCAGCGCUGCGCGAACACUUUAAUACCGCGCUGUUUCGUCCCACAUUUGGGCUGUUUGGCUUCCCAUAGAUAACGGCAAAUCAGCGUCUUUUCCUUAGUGUCUACUGCAGGAUGGAUAUAAAAGUAUAAAAUAACCUACUUUUUGGUUUGACAACAUCAUUAAUAUGUGUAUCACAAUUAAAGCACAAAGACAUAACAUUACACCCCAAGACCGUUCACAAGUUAGAGAAAAGAGAAGAAACAGUUUCCAGAAGAGAAGUUCAUCAGGCGAGUUGGAGCGUUUACUUUGUCGAGUCAUCCACUUUAGCGGAGAGUGUCAACCCAUUGAAAAGUGUUCAGCGUACAGUGUACCCCUCUUUGCAACAGAGGAAGCGUGA